ensembl:lncRNA
CUGCCUAAUCCUAAAUAUUGGGUAGCUGGGCUGCAGUCACAAUGCCCUCGAGAAGCCCCAGUUCCCAUGAGAGCAGAGCACUGGUGUCUCUGUGUCUGUGGUAGGAGCACAAGGGAAGGGUGUGUGGGCAUCCCCAUCUGGGCAGGUCCUGCCCAAACCCUGGUGUUGUUGAAGGACACGUGAAAGCACAACAUGAGCCACUGCUGUUUGCAGGGUAAAGAAGAAGGUUUAUUCUCUGACUCCAACUUUUAUACUUUUCCAAAGGUGACAGUGGACUGGAGAGUGAAUGGGCCACCUCUCCAAAGACAUUGGACAAACUACUAGUAUAUUGAGUCUCUCUACCCUUAUGAAGGAAUGCAAAACAACAUGUUGUUUAUAGAAAUUGUGUGGGAAAGUUUUCUAACAGCAUGUAAACUCAGAAGGCUUUAGAAAAACUUAAGAAUCUGGGUAACACCCUGCCUCUGCCCUAUCACCACAGGACCCCAGACAGGGAAUAAUUAGCAUUGACUCCAUGAUUGCAGAAGGCUGAUCAAUUGCUUUCUCCUAUCAUCCUAUACUAUAUUGCUCUAUACUCAUUAAGAAACUCAGUAACCCUUGCAGCCAGUCCAACACAGCUUUGACCUAACUGGUCAAUCCAUCCAAACCCCAUCCAGUGUUCAGUUAAAAAAUCACCCUUUGGCAAACGAAUCUCCAUAACACAUUCCACAUGUGCACAACAGCCGGUGCAGCAAGUGGAGAUCAGAAUUUUCAUUCUUUUCUCUGAUCUUCUCACAGCCCUCCCCAGGACAAUACCUGGGAAAGUCUGUGCCUGCUCUGUGUGGCCAGAGAGCUGCUGCCACCCUGCCCUGCAGUGGUGUAGCCAGCCCUGGUGCUGGGAGAGAGGACAUCCAGGUCAUGAGCACCACCCAGAGUUAAAGCAAAGCCCCAGAUGGGCUUUCCCUCCCCUCCUCUGCAGCGUGCCUGACCUUCCCUCCUCUCCUGCCCUGCAGUUCCACCCAGGGAAGGCAGCUCCUUUCCCUGCCUCGGCUCCUGAGGUGCUAAUGAAAAGGCUGGACAGAGCCUGUACAAGGCAAUAUCCCAAAAAUAUCAUUUUGCUUCACUGACAGCUGCAAGGGGUGAGGAACAAAAAUAACAGCUCCCUAAUUUAAUGUGGACUUCGAAUAAAAGCACUUCCCCUUCCACUUAUCUACCUGUGGAGCUAUUUUUGUCCAGUUCACUGGGAGAAUUCUAUUAUAUUCUGUUAUGCCUAAAAUAUUUUGAUUCUUUAAUCACUGCACAGGGUUCCUACCUGCAGUAAGUGGACUGAGCAGACAAGAGAAAUUUAUUACAGCUACCAACCAGAGAUCAAAUUCGUCUCUCAUCAAUUAUUUGGGACACUAUUGUUUCCAGCAGUUUCUCCUCUUAAUCAAACUGAUCACAGCUGAAUAUUUGGCUGCUUCUGUAGAAAAUACCAAGACUUGUUAUUUCAUUAUACACGUAUUCUUCUUACCUGUACAUUCUGUGGAAGGAUUUUAUAUAUAAGUGAUGAGCAUUGUCUGGUUGACAAAGUGGGACUAAAGUACAAGCCAAAGAGCUGGAAGAUAAAUUCAUCCUUGCAGUGCUUCAGCUGAUUUUCUAUGCAAAAAUGAAUAAAAAGUGCUUUUCCUUUGCCCCUCCAUCAGAGGCAGAGCUGGCAGUUUGGUGUUUUGGGGAGAGGAAAAAUAAUAAUGCAGAAAAAAUCUGAGCAAAGCCAUCCCCUAAUCCAGCACUGAAAGGACAACACAACAUUUGUACAGGCCUGCAGGGAAGGGCUGACAGAGCACAGGAUGGCCCUGUCCCUAAGAAAGCUCUUCCAUACACUGGGAACAAAAUGCAGGCACCAGGUGAUACAGACUUAGAGACUACAUUGCUUUUUUCUCUCUUGUAGGGCACAGGAUAUGGUCUCUUCCAAAAAAAACCCAAAAUCCCUUUGUAAAUCCCACCCCACCUCUACAACAGCCUCAGGGAAUGGGAGAGCAGAGUCAGACACUGCAGAGACAAGGAGCAAGAGUGACACAAAACCAACGUGGGAAGGACUGGGAACCCAGCAGGAUCCUCUGUCAGCUCCAGAGAAGCAGCAAACCCCACCAGGAGCUCUGCAGGGACAUGACCCACACGGGCUGGGGAGGACCAAGCUCUAUGUAAACCCUCCCCUGGCCCAGGGAGCAUCUGGAGAGGGACUCUGCCAUGCCAGGGAGCAGCCAGGCUGUGCCCAGCACCUGCCAGCUGCUGGAAGGCGAGGAUGGAUCCCAGGAUUUAUCACUGGAAACACAGAUGAUGCUCUUGGAGGAGCCAUCCUGCCAGCUUCCCAGAAGUAGGAGGUCACAGUGGCACACAGGGGCUUGGGCAAGGUCUGCCUGGCACGCUGAGCUUGGCACUGGUGGCAGGAGCUGCUGGGACAGGCUGGUUUCCAUGUGCCUGUCCUUGAGCAUGGCACUGCCCCAGGAGGGAGCAGAGCGAGCAGUCAGGGCUCCUCCAGGCUAACAGCAGCUCAGCAUCUCAUAAAACAGACACUGGCAGCUUCAGGGACCCUCAGCACACAGGUCCAAAGCAAAACACUUCUUGUUCAUGAAUAAAGGACAAGGACUUUUGCUGGAGGACUAAAACCAUGCUCUCAUUGCCCAAAAUGAGACAGCGAAGAGAAGGAACUGAGAGCCCAGAGCAGCACUGGAGAACAAAGCAUGUUUCUGAGGAUUUUAAGCCUUAGAGUUCAUGAAAGUACCAUGAGAAAUCCCUGCAAGGGAUGGACACAGCAUAAGUGAAAUCUGGAGACAGGCCUGGCUUUAUCUCAAGGGCUUUCCUCAUCCAGCCUUUGAAGAUGAAUCCACUGAGUGUCAUUUGCUCUGAUCCAGAGCAGCUCCAAAACCACUGAAAUGAGUGCACUCUUGCCAUUCACCAUGAGGACUUUUGGAUUACCUCUUUUAUCUUGCACAAGUCAUUGCACCUUCCUUUUCACUCACUUUGUCGCUUUGGAAAGCAAGAAUAAAUAAAUUCCACUACUUGACUGAAUUACAUUUGAGAUCUCCCAGUUCACCUUUGAGGUCUCCCAGUGGGAAUUGCCAGGUUAUUACAGCCAGAGGAGUCUAAGACCAGCACAGGCAAAGCACAACAGAAGAGCUCAGCCUUGGAUGUCUAAUUAGAGCUCCAGGUUCUAAUGGGAACAUGGUGCUUACUCUAGAAUAUUAAGAAAUUGUCUUGAUUCUCCUAAAAAGAUAGAUGAAAAAUUAAAUGGCAUAAUUGCAAAGGUUAACAAACUUGAGGGAAUCAUUAGACAAAACUGUGAGAUCAACACUUAAAAAAAAAAACACAACAGAGUCAAAGAUAAUGGAAUUCAACUGUUUCAACUCAGUUUUUCUCAUUUUCCUCAGCUGAGAAAACAUUAUAAACCCAUGUCAAACACAAGUUUUAAAUGGUAAUUUCUACAGCAUUUCUCCUUGAGCAUUAGGUUUAAAUGAGGCUUUAUAAGGUAAAGGCUGGUGACUAUUUAACCUGCUGUAGUGGAAAAGUAUUUAAGGUAUUAAACAUGAUUUUAAAUUAUUGUUAUAACCCAUCAUUUUCUAAUCCCUUAACUCUUCAGGAGGAUUUAAAAUAAAUUAUAUAAGCCUUAGGAAACAAAUAAAUAUACCAUAUAGGAAACGAAAACCGAAGAUUACCUAGGAAGGAGACAGACACACUGCAAGUGUGGUUGAAGAGAGUUUUCCAAAGUAUCUCCAUGAAUUAAGAACCUAAUACUUAUUUAUGGAAACACUUAGGAGCUAUGAUAAAGGACAGAUUUUCUUCAGCAAAAUUUUUAACUAAAAAUACAUGACAGAAGUACUUACUUUAUGAUUUUUAUGACAACAAAAAUACACAGUGCCAAAAGGCUCCUGGAGCUCCUGAUUGCUUUCAUUUCAUUUCUCACCACAAAAGUGAAACAAGAGAACGAAGGGGAGAUUACACUGCCAGCUUUCUCAUUAUUAAUGGUGAAGGAAAUAGCUGCCUUAAUGCAUUUGAUUACAUCUUAAUAAUCACAGCCAGCCAGCUCCUUUUGGAACACGCCAGAUUCUGUAGCAGAAAAAUAUCUUUACGCCGACCACAAACCGUCGGGCCCCGACCACUGACAAGUUGUGACAACUGCACUGAGCCUGCUGGGGGAGUGUAAAUAUAACUGGCUUUGCAGCCACGUGAGUAUCAUCUGUACCAGGGGAGCAUUAUCACAGCCAGGGAAGGCAGGGCUGGGCGCUGCUGAGUGAAUCCUAAAGAGUUUAAUACUGGUAGCGAUGUGUGAGGAAAGAAUUCUGAACCUAAAGUGUGCCCAAAUGCUGAAAUGGGGUUAUUGAGUGUGCCAAGCUGUUAAGAAAACCUGAUCUUUAGCAGAGAAAUAAAAAUCAAUCACUGGAAUGUAACUGAAACUUCCCAAGCCUGAAAUAGUCUUUCUUGGAUUUGAGCUAAAGAAGUGCAGAAGGCUUUCAGGAUUUGCUUGACUUCUUUUUUCCUGUUUCACACCUCCCUGCAAGGUCUUGGUCCCUCUCUAAGAGCUGACCAGCCAAAGCUUGCAGAAACUGCAGUGUGGCUCACAAACUGCUCCAGCCUUGGCCUUUUGUCUGGUGCCCAACAGAAGCAGAAGUCAGAAAUGAGCUACCUUUGUGAGGAGCAAGUCAGCAGCACCCAGAAAGAGCAGGAAUGCAAAUGCAGCACUCAGCUAAAACACAGACCUGUCAGUGACAGCUGCCUCUGACCACAGCUUUGUGUUCUCCUUCGCUUGCUGUGAAGUGAAACUAUUAGAAGUUUGAUAAUUAGAUGUUCCUCUAAUAAAAAAAAAAAAUCCAUCUAAAUAAAGUUACAUACACCAGCCCAUAUAGUGGGACUCAGAUGUGCUGGUGAGAUCCAGCAAAGCAGAGAUGCACAAUCUUUUCCUACCCACCAGACUUUCCUGCUGCCUAAAACCCCAGGAGCACAGGCUCAGCUCCUUUCUUAUUCCCUCACAGGGGGCUGUCCAGAGCGGGAUCCUAGAGGGAUGGAAAUGAGAGAAGUGGGAAAAUGGAAAAAAAAAUAAUUAAACAAUUAGGAAGACUCACAGGAGGAACAGUAGUUCAGCACUGCCCUGAGACUGCUGUAAAAGGAUGCUGCAUAAGGGAAGGGAAUUAUCUAUCCUUCAUGUGCGUGGUAGGUUAGACAAGAAAUAAUGAGAUAAAAUUACAGCUAGGGAAAUUCAAUUCAGACAUCAGGAAAUACUUUCUAAGGUAAAGUCUGUUAUGUCCUGAAACAGAUAGCUUAGGGACACUGGGGAAUAGAUGGUGUUGGUGGUUUAAAGAGGCAGAUGGACUAAGUGAACUCCUCAGGUCUCUUCCAAUCCCAUUUUCUUUAAUUUAGGGUAAAUGAGCUCAAAUUUCUCCAUACAGUCUUGCACCUGUAUGACCUCUAAGUUUGCAGGCAUAGUGGAUGUGCUUAAUUCUGAAUUAACAGUGCCUAGGGAUCCUUUUUUAAGAAUAGCAUAUAAACCUUGUGAUUAUAAUGAUAGUAUUUUAUAAUAUACUUUUAUCACAAUUAUACACAGAGUAUAGAUCCAUUUAGUCCAAGAAUAUCAUUAGACAUCUGGCUACAUGGCCUUCACUCUGUCAAGAACAUCAGCCAUUUCAAAUAAUGGUUUUCAACUGCUCAAAAAAAAAAACAAACAAAA